GUGAGGAAUAUUGGUCAAUGGGCGGAAGCCUGAACCAGCCAUCCCGCGUGCAGGAAGACGGCCCUAUGGGUUGUAAACUGCUUUUCCAGGGGGUGAAUUUUCCGGUCGUGACCGGGAUUGACGGUACCCUGGGAAUAAGCAUCGGCUAACUCCGUGCCAGCAGCCGCGGUAAUACGGAGGAUGCGAGCGUUAUCCGGAUUUAUUGGGUUUAAAGGGUGCGUAGGCGGAUUGAUAAGUCAGUGGUGAAAACCUGCAGCUUAACUGUAGACUUGCCGUUGAUACUGUUAGUCUUGAGUGUGGUCAAGGUAGGCGGAAUGUGUAAUGUAGCGGUGAAAUGCUUAGAUAUUACACAGAACACCGAUUGCGAAGGCAGCUUGCUGGGCCAUUACUGACGCUGAUGCACGAAAGCGUGGGGAUCGAACAGGAUUAGAAACCCCAGUAGUCC
rnacentral:rRNA from 1 species